UAUAUAAAUGGACUCAAGACAAGCUAGUUCUCUCACAAACCAAACUCAUCAAGCAUCCAAAUACAACCAUUGUUUAGCUAUGACCAACCUUUACUUUAGGAUCGCUUUUCUUCUCUCCCUCUUGUUGUCCUUAUCUCGUAAGUAAAUGCGAAUUUUCAUUGGUAAUUCAUAAAUAGGUGAAAACGGUUCCAAGAUUUUGCAUAAUUUAACCAAUUAUGUUUAGCAGUUUGUGAUCAAUUAUGUCGGUUCUAAGUUAAAUUCAAGCGAUUUUUCACUUAAAUUUAUGUUUCUAAUUUUUUUUUUGUCAUCCAAAAUUAAUUAACGCUCAAAAGAGCCAUUUCUGGGGAAUGUUGUUUACAUAUGCGAUAUGAAGCGGUUCUGCACGAACUUUAUGUUUCUAUUAUAUUCAUGAAUUUUGUUUUGGAUUCUUCUAUAUAUGUCACGAAUAUUAUCAGUUGUAUACUAAUUUGACAUUUUUUGGUUUUUUUCUAAAUUGAAGAUCAAAACAUAAUAAUCGAGGCUAGAGAAGGCAAAGAAUGUAUAGGAAAAUGUUAUAGAUCCCUUACUCGUUCUCUUUCGAUGAUAGAUUCAGAAGAAAGAGCCAACAAAGAAUGCAUAGACCAUAAUGGACUUAGUAGCAAAUGUUCUCCUAAUACUUCCCCUUCUGUGAUUGAUUCAGAAGAAGAAGUAGUACUCAACGAAGAAUAUAUGGAUGGUACUAAAGAACAUAAAAGAAAAUGUCAUUGCAAAUGUCGUAAACAUAAAUCUCCAACUCAUUCACCUUCAAUGAUAGAUUCAGAAGCAGGUGUCAACAAAAACCAUAAAAAAAAAUGUCAUUGCAAAUGUCAUAAAGCUAAAACUCCUAAAUGAAUAUUAUAUUUAAAAUAGAUGUAACUCUUAAAUAUAUUUUCUUCAUAUAAUUAAUAUUAAUAAAAUGAUAUAUUCUCUAUUUUUGUUUGAUAGUGAUGGAAUCAAUUUCCAAAUGACAAUUCUUAAUCUUAUAACAUUAAAUCAUUCAAAUUUUUCGAAGUGUAUGAACGACCUCUAGAAAAGAAUGUGGGAUCCAAAAACCAAAAAAUUGGUUUAGACACAUGACAAUUGUGUGAGUGUUUCUGCACAGAUAAAUUGGAUGAUAAAUCAAGUCGGUUUUGAGGAGGAUUUCAACAAGACUCGAGCUUCACCAUGAGAGAUAACGCCCCGAUCGUCACUUAUCUUAGUGGAUCCCAUGUCCUCUCUCGGCCCAUGGGCCCUCCCGUUCUGACGGCCGGUCCGCUACGUCCGGGAGGGUUUAAAGACUUGUUUACCGAUCCUACAAAUCACCACAUUAUCAUUCCCUGUGUUUUGUCCUCACUCACACAGUUCCGACAAUCAGUUUCCGAAAGGUCACCCAUCCUGAAAUUGCUCUAGUUCAAGCACCAAUAACAUUGGAGUUCUCUAAGGACAGUUGAUCGAAAAGAUAAGUACACUUUGGUGACAUAGGUGGCCAAGUCAAUUCUUUUAAAUCUCUCCGCAUGCACCACCAUAUUUUUGAAACCACAGUGUUACAAUUCACCCCCACUAACAGACCGCAAUGUCCUCGUUGCACACCAAGACCGUCACUCCGACGGUGUGAGCCCUCUUGACUCCACACUCAUCAGAGUUCGGCUCUGAUACCAUUUAUAACGCCCCGACCGUCACUUCUCUUAGUAGGCCCCACGUCUCCUCUCUGCUCGUGGGCCCACCCGUGUAUGACUGUCGGUCUGCUACGUCCGAGAGGCUUGAAAGACUUGUUUAUCGACCCUACAAAUCACCACAUGAUCUUUACCUUUGUUUUUUCCUCACUCACACAGUUCCGACAAUCACUUCCCGAAAAAUCACCCAUCCUGAAAUUGUUCCAGUUCAAGCACCCUUAACUUUGGAGUUCUCUCAGGAAAGUUGACCGAAAAGAUAAGUGCACUUUGGUAACAUAGAUGGCCAAGUCAAUUCUUUUAAACCUCUUGGCAUGCACCACCAUAUUCCUGAAACUGGGGUAUUACAAGAGAGUUGACUAUUUGGAAUAUUUUGUUUAUGAUAUAGUUGAACCUCAUGGAAGUUGCUUACGCACCCAUGUAAAAGGAUCAAGCAUUCAAAAUUCAUACUAAAAAAGUUUUCUAGGUUUUUGUGUGAGAGAUUUCAUCCAAAGAGAUGCUUCUCUCUUUAUAUGAACAUGUAGUCAGUUUCGAGAUAUGUACAACUUCCUUAUUUAUCGAACAUAGAUAUGUAUCUUUUCCUCUUUCUUGGAUUCUUAACUUAUCUUCUUAGAAGAUAAAGGAAAAUCUUCUUAACUUAUCAUAAGACUCAUAACUGAAAAUAAAGUCUUCUCUAUAUUAGACAAAAGGAGUUAUAACUGAAAAACAAAAUCUGUUCUAUAUUGAUAAAAUCUAAUAUUUUCAAUAAAUUAAAAAUAAAACUGUUUAAAUAAAGUAAUGCCCAAAUCCCAAUAGGAUACUAUAGCUCUGAUUUUAUUAUUUUCAAAAUCUGUGAAUUUAUUAUAAUAAUUGUAUUUGUGAAAAGUAAUUGUAUUUUUGAAAAAAUAGACUUUGUAUCUUGGAUCAUUGAAUGAGUGUCAUAAUUAAAAAUAAAAAAUCUAGAUAUAUACAAAAUCUGAAAUUUAAAGUACUUUAAAAAAAAUUGUUUUUCCAUCCCAUAUAUAAAUGGACUCAAGACUAGCUAAUUCUCUCACAAUCCAUACUCAUCAAGCAUCCAAAUACAAACAUUGUUUAGCUAUGACCAACAUUUACGUUAGGACCGCUUUUCUUCUCUCCCUCUUGUUGUCCUUCUCUCGUAAGUAAAUGUGAAUUUUCAUUGGUAAUUCAUAAAUUGGUGAAAACGGUUCCAAGAUUUUGCAUAAUUUAACCAAUUAUGCAAAUUGUGGAAUUGUAAUUUAUAUUUAGCCGUUUGUGAUCGAUUUUGUCGUUUCUAAGUUAAAUUCAAAUGAUUUUUUGCAUCAUCUAUGUUUCCAUUAUAUUCAUGAACUUAAAUGCUUUGGGAUUAUUCUAUGUUACGAUGUUACCAACCUUAUACAAAUUUGACAUUUUUCUUUUUUUCUUUAAAUAAAUUGAAGAUCAAAGCAUAAUAAUCGAGGCCAGGGGAGGCAAAGGAUGUAUAGGCAUAUGUUAUAGAUCUCCUACUCCUUCUCCUUCGAUGAUAGAUUCAGAAGAAGGAACCAACAAAGAAUGCAUGGACCAUAAAGGAGUUGGCAGCAAAUGUUCUCCUAAUCCUUCCCCUUCAAUGAUAGAUUCAGAAGAAGAAGUCAACCAAGAAUAUUGGAACAUUGAAGAACAUGAAAGCAAAUGUCAUUGCAAGUGUCCUAAACAUAAACCUCCUACUCCUUCACCUUCAAUGAUAGAUUUAGAUGAAGAAGUCAACCAAGAAUAUAUGGACAUUGAAGAACAUAACAACAAAUGUCAUUGCAAGUGUCAUAAACAUAAACCUCCUACUCCUUCACCUUCAAUGAUAGAUUCAGAAGAAGAAGUCAACCAAGAAUAUUGGGACGUCGAAGAACAUAAAAGCAAGUGUCAUUGCAAGUGUCCUAAACAUAAACCUCCUACUCCUUCACCUUCAAUGACAGAUUCAGAAGAAGCUAAAGCUCCUACCCCCAUUGAAAAACGUAAAAGAAAAUGUCAUUGCAAAUGUCAU
rnacentral:lncRNA from 1 species